rnacentral:tRNA from 1 species
GGGCGUGUAGCUCAGCCGGGAGAGCACCUGCUUUGCAAGCAGCGUGAAAUCCCAAAAUAAAUGGCUUUGCUGGUGUCGCUUACGCCCG